rnacentral:tRNA from 1 species
GCGCGAUUAGCUCAGCUGGAUAGAGCGUCGGCCUCCGGAGCCGAAGGUCGCAGGUUCGAAUCCUGCAUCGCGCACCA